rnacentral:rRNA from 1 species
AUUGAACGCUGGCGGCAGGCCUAACACAUGCAAGUCGAGCGGAUGAAGGGAGCUUGCUCCUGGAUUCAGCGGCGGACGGGUGAGUAAUGCCUAGGAAUCUGCCUGGUAGUGGGGGAUAACGUCCGGAAACGGGCGCUAAUACCGCAUACGUCCUGAGGGAGAAAGGGGGGGAUCUUCGGACCUCACGCUCUCAGAUGAGCCUAGGUCGGAUUAGCUAGUUGGUGGGGUAAAGGCCUACCAAGGCGACGAUCCGUAACUGGUCUGAGAGGAUGAUCAGUCACACUGGAACUGAGACACGGUCCAGACUCCUACGGGAGGCAGCAGUGGGGAAUAUUGGACAAAGGGCGAAAGCCUGAUCCAGCCAUGCCGCGUGUGUGAAGAAGGUCUUCGGAUUGUAAAGCACUUUAAGUUGGGAGGAAGGGCAGUAAGUUAAUACCUUGCUGUUUUGACGUUACCAACAGAAUAAGCACCGGCUAACUUCGUG